AGCAGUGGGGAAUAUUGCACAAUGGGCGCAAGCCUGAUGCAGCCAUGCCGCGUGUAUGAAGAAGGCCUUCGGGUUGUAAAGUACUUUCAGCAGUGAGGAAGGUGGGUAUGUUAAUAGCAUACUCAUUUGACGUUAGCUGCAGAAGAAGCACCGGCUAACUCCGUGCCAGCAGCCGCGGUAAUACGGAGGGUGCGAGCGUUAAUCGGAAUUACUGGGCGUAAAGCGCAUGCAGGUGGUUUGUUAAGUCAGAUGUGAAAGCCCGGGGCUCAACCUCGGAAUUGCAUUUGAAACUGGCAAACUAGAGUACUGUAGAGGGGGUAGAAUUUCAGGUGUAGCGGUGAAAUGCGUAGAGAUCUGAAGGAAUACCGGUGGCGAAGGCGGCCCCCUGGACAGAUACUGACACUCAGAUGCGAAAGCGUGGGGAGCAAACAGGAUUAGAUACCCUGGUAG
rnacentral:rRNA from 1 species